UACGUAGGGUGCAAGCGUUAAUCGGAAUUACUGGGCGUAAAGCGUGCGCAGGCGGUGAUGUAAGACAGUUGUGAAAUCCCCGGGCUCAACCUGGGAACUGCAUCUGUGACUGCAUCGCUGGAGUGCGGCAGAGGGGGAUGGAAUUCCAGGUGUAGCGGUGAAAUGCGUAGAUAUCUGGAGGAACACCGGUGGCGAAGGCGGCAUCCUGGACCAAUAUUGACGCUGAGGAGCGAAAGCCAGGGGAGCAAACGGG
rnacentral:rRNA from 1 species